GCAGGCGGCCCCGGCCCCGGCCCCGGCCCCGGCCCCGGGGCUGCAGGACGAGCAGAGGCAGAGCCGAGUUUCCCGCCUUUCCCCGCCCUGGCGAAGCAGCGCUGUCACCGAGGCCGAAACAGUGCUAGGGGCUCGGGUUUCUUGGGGCAACACCUGCACGGGCACCUCAAGACCCGCGACUGAGCCACAGUCUCUUCAUCCUCUUAUUGAGGGAUGGCUCCUGCCAUCCUCUCGCGUCCCUCCCAACCUGGAGAGACGGAGCUCGGCUGGGAUGGACGAGGCAGUCUCCGUGGCCGAGGCAAGUGCCCUGCCUCUGUUCAAGGCUGAGCUCUGCUGCAGCUCACGGAUGGGUGGAGAGUCCGAUUGUGGAGCCGCGCGUCUGUCCGGAGAAGCUGCAGGUCUUUCUGCAGGGGAGAGUAGGCCGGAGGCUGGGAUUCUCUCCCUUUCCUCCCUCUGCUUUCUCCUCGCUUCGACAGCAAGAUGCUUUACCUCAAACGGUCGACUACUUGGUUAAGGUUGCUGCACCUUUGGGGCCAGUUGCCAGCCAGCUCCUCCCAGCUCUUGAUGUUGACAUCCGUUUUCUUGAGAUCUGCCUUCAAUGUGUCCUUGUAGUGUUUCCUCUGGCCACCGCAAGAUCUCAGGCUCUUGUUUAGCUGGAAGUAGAGCACUUGUUUUGGAAGUCAAGAGUCAAGCAUCUGCAUGCAUCUGGUCCAGAUAAGUUGCUGCUUGGGGAUCACUGACUCAGCAUGCUGUACGCUGUCCUGUGCCACAUUGUUCCACUUAUGGCGCAGAAGCCCAUAUCUUAGGGCAGGGCACUCACCACCUCUUGGAUCUAAUCAUACACUUCCACAGAAUUGGGCACUAAAUAUGGGGCCUUGAAGGCUUGGAUGGGAAGGUGCUCUUUUUGGGUUGACUGGUGAGAGCACGGGAAGAAGACCAACACACUGCGCUCCACUUGCAUGUGGACUGGAUAAGGUCAUGCAUUGCUGGAAUGCGCAACUGCCCUAGUUUCUUGCCUACUGCUUGCCUUGUAACAACCAUUGUUUAUCUGCCUGUCAGGUAAACAGUUUAGGUGCACAGCAUCUUUCAACCCUACCCUUAACUUUGUAACUUAAUGGUACUCCUGGUAACUGCAUGGGAAGUGGAUCUGUCACUGUGUCUUGUUACAGUGAUGUAUUUAGCCGUGCUGGUCCAGGAAUUAUGCCAGAGGCAAGGAUUUCUUCAGCUGAUGUCGUUUCUUGGCCCAACUGCAUAGUUGGGAUAGAGCUCCACAAGACUUUGCAUGCAAUGCAUUCUUCUUCAGAUCUGAUUUCUCCCUAAGGAAUCCAUCCUUGAUCUUGAUCUGUUUGAUCUUUGUGCUUUCUUUUCCCUAGUGGGCCUUUAUUCCAUGAAACAUAGGUAGAAGCUCUGAUUGUGAACCAAUGGUUGGGGCCACCAGAAGUAUCAUUUUCCAAGAUGGCAUUCCAUCCGGGAAGAGCACACGCCAACUGUUGAAACUUCCUUAGCCUGACAAAGGGUUUUUGAACCCGAAAGCUUGCUUAAUAAUUGUUUUCCAACUAUUUAAGUUGGUCUAAUAAAAGAUACCAGAUUCACCCAAAGAACCUUGUCAUUUUCCAAGUGAAAUGAGAAAUCCAGUGCUUUUCCCCAAAAUAGUGGCAUUCUCCUGAGUGUCCUAGCAGCAUUCCAGUACAUGUCAUUGUGUUCUGCCUCCCUGAAUGCCCUACACUUUGCAUUGAAGAGAGGAUUAGUCACUUCCUGUUCCAGUCAGCUGUGCUGUCAAAUUUAUUCACAACUGCUGGCCUGUAACACUGCACCUCAGCUUGGUGGACAAAACAAUCCUUCUCUGUAGUUUGCACUUUGAGAUCCUUCAGGAGGAAGAAGCCCAACAGAAACGUAAAGAUAUUAUCAGUACAACAAAUCCCUAAUUUUUAAUUUUCUCUUUUAUUCUUUCCAGAUCUUGCUUGCAUCUGCUACUUUCAGUUUUUCUGUUUCUUCCUCUUUCAGGCUACACAACUUCUUGUCAGCUGGGAAUGGCAGAAGUAAACUUCUGCUUCAAAUCUUUCCCCUCACUCUUGAAAGAGAACCUUAUUAUUUAUGCACCAGGAAACGCAGCCAAGAUCAGGGGCCAGUUGUGCUGAGCACUGUACAAACACACAGUAUGGGCCAGUCCCUGUUCCAACUGUCAUACAAUCUGAAGAAUGCAAACCACAAAGACUAAUGCACGCUUACAUCAGACAAGUAGACAAAGGAUGGGAGGGGAAGCAGAGGCAUGGAAAAGUGAAGCAUGAUUUUUUUCCAUCCUCAGAUAAAAGCCUAUCUUCAUUAUUUUUAAGAUCCUGAAUGUAUGCAGUCAAGGUUGGAUGAUGGUUGACUUCACUGAAAUCAGUGGAAUUCUUGUACCUAAAUUAACAAUUUGAGUUGGGGCUGGAUCACGAACUUUUUAUCACCCAGUGCGCCAGUGAGCCAUAUUCAAAGACCUCACAGGAAGUGACAUCACAUCAGGAAGUGAUGUCACAUGACCUUUGACACCAAUGAAGUUGCAGGAAGUGACAAUGAAAUGGGUCUGCUCCACAGGCAUUUCUUAUGUUUUUAAUUUUACUCUAUCUUCUUUCACUGUGCCUGAAAUAUGCAGAACUCUUUCAUUCUCUGGCUGCAGAAGACACAGGUGAUCAAGGCACAUCAGGUGAAAAAAGUCUGCAUCACAGUACAGUCCUGUUUCACUAGUACUAUUUCAGUUUGUACCCUUGGAGUAAAUCUCCAAGACAAGAAACAUGUUGGCUGUUUGGCACAGCUCUCCAGUGCUGCAAAAAUAUGUAUACCAAGGCAACAGACAAACUAGAUGUACUAAAUAAACAAAUAAUACUCAUAUUUAA